CAAUACUGGCAAUUACUUUUCC
rnacentral:miRNA from 1 species